rnacentral:lncRNA from 1 species
AGUGCAUAAAUACGACUCUGUGUGCGCAGUCUCCCCCCUUUCUACUGCUUAGGAGAAGAAGGCUGAGCUGACUGAGCCGAAACAGGAGAAGCUUGCACUUGCUGGUUUCUUGUAGUUUGAGGCCUCUGAAAUGAUCGAAGGUCCUGUUGAGGACACUCAGCUACCUUAUGACCCUGCUGGCCGCAUCUGAAACAAGCACCAGAUAAUCGUCUACAGUGUUCAGUCUUAUGCAUACAACCACAUGCAUUACACUUAUGCUUCUCUUGCUGAAUAGUCUUUCCAUAAGAUCCUUGCUUCCCUGAUUGCCAAGAUUGGUUAUGUAAUUUUGCAGUCUUGCUAGAAUUCUGUCCACUGCGAGCAU